UCUUCUAAGUCGAUCCAUCGAUAAUUGCAUUCAGAAGAAAGUCGAGUAAAAAAGAACAUCAGUCGAACUUUCAUUAUCUAUAAAGAUUUUUUUAACAUCAUAAUUAGCUAUUGUUGUCGAAACAACAACAGCAUCAUUAUGGAGAGUUUGAAUUCUCCAAACAUCCUCUUUCAAAAAAGUUAUUACAUUAUUGAGUCGUCGCCUUUUCGCCGACUCUUCUUCGAAAGUUGCCUCUCAGUUUGGUCACCC
rnacentral:lncRNA from 1 species